CGUCGGGUAGUCCGGCGCCGGAGUUCGGCUCGCGGCCGAGCCAGGUGACGCGAACGCGGUAGCGUCCCGGCUCGGCACGCGGGCCCGGUGGC
rnacentral:tRNA from 1 species